ACGAACGGCUGGCGGCGUAGCUUAACACGAUGCAAGUCGAACGGGAGUAUUGAAGAAGCUUGCUUAGAGAUACUUUAGUGGCGGACGGGUGAGUAACGCGUGAGGAGCUGUCCUAUGGCAGGGGGGACAACAGCUGGAAACGGCUGCUAAUACCCCAUAAGGCCGAGAGGUAAAAGGAUCAAUCCGGCAGAGGAGGUACUCGCGUCCUAUCAGCUAGUAGGUGAGGUAACGGCUCACCUAGGCGAAGACGGGUAGCCGGCCUGAGAGGGCGAACGGCCACACUGGAACUGAGAUACGGUCCAGACUCCUACGGGAGGCAGCAGUGGGGAAUAUUGGGCAAUGGGGGGAAAAACCCCCUGACCCAGCGACGCCGCGUGGGUGAAGAAAUCCUUCGGGAUGUAAAGCCCUGUUGUAUGGGAAGAGCGGAAGACGGUACCAUACGAGGAAGCCCCGGCAAACUACGUGCCAGCCGCAGC
rnacentral:rRNA from 1 species